GCCAUAUUGGGGCAGUCUUGCACUUGGUCAGAGUUUGACUUUGGUCAAGGUUAACUUCUCCCAGUUAGCCAGGAUCCUGCUCCACCUAGGGUGGAGUGCACGUAGUAAAGGUUAAGUUCAUUGUUCUUCCUGGUAUAGGAAUUCCUGAAUUAAACAGGUGACCCACCCAGCUGCCGGAGCAGUCAAGACGAAGACCUCCAAGAGAAGCUAGACAACUUCCACCGGAACUCAGCCUGGAGUCUGGGGGGAAGGGUUUGCCCGAACUGUUAAAAGGUCCGGCGCCAUUAAAGUUUACGGCUUUGAUCAGUGAACAUUGACUUAGCCGUACGGUCUUUUCGCCGCUCUUCCCUAUGACCCCAAAAUUCUCUCAACAGGUAACCCAGUUUACAUGUAGCUGCUGGCGGCUACAUAGUGGCGCCUGAACGUGGGACGACCUGGCACGAGAGAAUUUCUUGAGGUAGCCCUAUCCAGCGAAGCUUCGCGGAAAAGGUGAAAAUUAAUGGUGUCCGCACGGUAAGCAACAUAGAGGGCAAAACUAGCGCUAGUGAAUUCGUGUCUAUGGUUGUGAGUGCAGGAAUGGAUACAGUUUUUCAAGCAUACUGCGUGGACCCAGCGCAGGACUGCUUGGGUUGAUAAGAUAGGGAAAUAUGGGGAAGGAAUUUGGUAGGCAUUUGCCCAAAGCUCGUAAGAGCUGAUUUCGGCGAAAAGAAAGGGGUUUUUAAAAAUAGGCAUAUGUCCACAGCUUCUAAGAGCUGUUUAAAGAGGAAAAUGGAUGCAAUUGCUUAACAAGCACGCUUAACUUUCUGUGUAUCUUUCCGUGUUUGUCCCGGUGCACCGACUGUCUAUGUGUAUGUUUAUGUCCUCUCUGUGUCUUUGUGUGAAUGACUGUUUCAUGUUAAAAAGAAAAAAUUGGUAAAGAUUACAUCUGCUGGUAACCUUUUGAGCUAGCCACAGUUUGUGUGGGGAUUGAUUCAAAGCCACGCUGCGGCAGCGUAGCUCACUCACCCAAGACAGAAACAUGGCUGGGGAAAAAGCCGCUCUUAAAAGCCCAGAAACCUCGAGAUUUGGGAAGACCUUGGUUUGGCUUGUGAAAUUCAUGUAGUCGCUUUAUACAUGUUUCUAAUUGGUUUUAAUGAUAUAAGGCUUUACAUUUCUUGACUAAAGAGUUAUAAAUUAAUUGGUUAUUAUGUAAAAGGUAUAGUGUUAUUAAGAAAAGGUUAGUUUAAAAACUGGUGAUUCAGUGUUAGAGCUAUCUUAACUAACUACACGUGGCCUAACGCCACUCAUGCUUUGUUCUUGUUUAUAAUUGAAUUUAAAGGUAUAUUUUGCAUGUCUUGACUAUAGAGUAUUGGCUUAAGUCACUGCACAUGAUUUAAAAGGUAUAAUGUUAUUAACAAAAGUUAGGUUAAGGCUGGUAGUUUAGGGUAGUCGCCAUUUUGAACACGUGGCAUGAUGGUUAAGGCUGGUAGUUUAGGGUAGUCGCCAUUUUGAACACGUGGCAUGAUGGUUAAGGCUGGUAGUUUAGGGUAGUCGCCAUUUUGAACACGUGGCAUGACGGUUAAGGCUGGUAGUUUAGGGUAGUCGCCAUUUUGAACACGUGGCAUGACGAUUAAGGCUGGUAGUUUAGGGUAGUCGCCAUUUUGAACACCACGUGGCAUGACGCAAUCCAGGAAAUACAGGCCUUUGGGACGCUCCUAAAUUGGCAUGGUGUUUCAUGUGAAUCUUGGCCUGGAGAUUAGACUUAAUGAAGAUUAAGAUUUAAAAUAUUGUCUCUUUAAUAAGUUACACUGUUAUACACUUGAACAUAAGAACUGGCAUACAAACCUUGUGCUGUAAAUAUGUGUUUGCCAUUAAUUUUAAAGAAAAUAGAUUGUUUAAAAUUGAGAUUUGCUUCCAAAAUUACAAUUGUGCUCUAAUAUUGCAAGAAAACAUUGAGUUACAAUAAAAAUCAGUGUGUCAUUGGCUACAGUUUUCAGUUUGCAGGCUCGUAAUUGUUAACAUUUUGUAAUUAAGAUAAUUUUGAGAGUGAUACAGCUAUGGGUUUUAGAGGCCCAUUGCCUCUUUUCCACAAGUUUAUAGGCUACAAUGGUAGGAGCAAAAUUUAACCCUCCAAGAUUAAAAAGGAUAUCUCUGUAGAAAUGUAUUUGAUAUCAAGUAGGUUCCUUUGACCAUGAAAUUACAGGUUUCUUUUGUUUAAUCCUUAAAUUGUCCUUGUAGGUUUGGGUCUGGUCUUAGAUAAAAGGCUCAGAUUAGAAGAUAUUUACAUUUGAGGAAUCUCAUACAAUGUCCUUGCCAAGGACUCAAGGUGGAUCCUAGGGCAGAUAAAAAAAUUUACAUUUGAGUUAAUGCAAAGCUUAGAGCUGCCUCAGGGGAAGCUAGUGAGGAAGUUUUGAGAAAUUGUUUCUGCCUUACAGGCCCCACCUAGGGAGUGUUUGGCUUUAAAAAAAAAAAAAAAAAAAAAAAAAAAAAAAAAAAAAAGGUUUUU